UACGAAGGUGGCGAGCGUUGUUCGGAUUUACUGGGCGUACAGGGAGCGUAGGCGGUUGGGUAAGCCCUCCGUGAAAUCUCCGGGCCUAACCCGGGAAGGGCGGAGGUCACUGCUCGGCUAGAGGAUGGGAGAGGAACGCGGAAUUCCCGGUGUAGCGGUGAAAUGCGUAGAGAUCGGGAGGAAGGCCGGUAGCGAAGGCGGCGCUCUGGAACAUUUCCGACGCUGAGGCUAGAAAGCGUUGCUAGUGAUCAGG
rnacentral:rRNA from 1 species